rnacentral:pre_miRNA from 1 species
UUUUGAUUGUUGCUCAGAAGGCGUGGAUAUGACAGGCUUUCGAGCAAUGAUCAAACGC